CUGUAAACAGUCCCGGGCCCGGGAGGGAUCCCCGCGGCUUGUUUUGGUGACUGCGCGCGGAAGUCUGUGGUGCUGGGAAUGGGAGGGCCGCCUGUGAAACCACAAAGCCCUGCUCGUGCGUCGGACGGCCGGGAAGCCUGCACACUUUUCCGUGUUUCCGGGAUCUUGCGAGCCCGCGCGCUGCGGGAGACGCGGAGGCGGGACCCGUGGGUCCUCAGGGCCUGGGCGGGCGGCGGAGCAUCUCUGACGGAUGGGAAAUGCACAGCCCUGGUCAGCGAGGAGAAGGCAUUGUGACUAGGAAGACCUGAGAGUAGACAACUAGUUAGAACAAGGCCAGGCAACGCAUCCAUUAACAAAAAAUAA